UACGUAGGGGGCAAGCGUUGUCCGGAUUUAUUGGGCGUAAAGAGCGUGUAGGCGGCCAUGUAGGUCCGUUGUGAAAACUCGAGGCUCAACCUCGAGACGCCGAUGGAAACCGUAAGGCUAGAGUCCGGAAGAGGAGAGUGGAAUUCCUGGUGUAGCGGUGAAAUGCGCAGAUAUCAGGAGGAACACCCGUGGCGAAAGCGGCUCUCUGGGACGGUACUGACGCUGAGACGCGAAAGCGUGGGGAGCAAACAGG
rnacentral:rRNA from 1 species